UCUGAAAAGGGUUUGGGCCUGAGCCUCUCUGACUCCAGGACCUGGAGAGGGGGUCAGGGCCCAGGGACAGCAGCCAAGCCCACCAGGGACAAGAACCCCAGUUUGCAACACCCUUACUCUUCCCGGGCAUCCCAGGAGACCCUGAAGAUUUCCCUGAAAGAGGAGAAGGCUGUGGGCCUCAGGCAACAGGAGCUGGUGCAGAAGCUUCAAGAGGAGAUCAAGACAUUGAAUCAGUGGCUGCAAAAUAAAUCCUCGGAGCUGGAGGGGAAAUCCGCGGAUCUGGAGAAGAAAUCCACGGAUCUGCAGGAAGUAUACACGGAGCUGGAGAAACUAAGAAAAGAGAAUGAGGCCUUGGUCUCUGCCAAGGGUCCCCCCGACUCCGGGAUCUGCCUCAUUCUCUACGGGGCCGCAGUGCUCCUGAGUCUCCUGGCUCUGCUGGUCUGUUGUCUCAGGACGUGUGCC